GUGGGGAAUAUUGGACAAUGGGCGCAAGCCUGAUCCAGCCAUACCGCGUGGGUGAAGAAGGCCUUCGGGUUGUAAACUGCUUUUGUACGGAACGAAACGGUCCGGGUUAAUACCCUGGGCUAAUGACGGUACCGUAAGAAUAAGCACCGGCUAACUACGUGCCAGCAGCCGCGGUAAUACGUAGGGUGCAAGCGUUAAUCGGAAUUACUGGGCGUAAAGCGUGCGCAGGCGGUUUUGUAAGACAGGCGUGAAAUCCCCGGGCUCAACCUGGGAAUUGCGCUUGUGACUGCAAGGCUGGAGUGCGGCAGAGGGGGAUGGAAUUCCGCGUGUAGCAGUGAAAUGCGUAGAUAUGCGGAGGAACACCGAUGGCGAAGGCAAUCCCCUGGGCCUGCACUGACGCUCAUGCACGAAAGCGUGGGGAGCAAACAGGAUUAGAUACCCGAGUAGUCC
rnacentral:rRNA from 1 species